rnacentral:misc_RNA from 1 species
UAAAGAGGGCCAGUGACCUGCAUGC